GGCAGGCGGACGUCAAUGCUCAAAUCAUCGCGAUUGUUUCCUAAAAAAUCCAUAUUCCGGUGGCUGUUUUGGCGGCCUAUGCAGAGGCGGCCGUCCGUUCAAAUGAUCCCCGGAAAUGACCAUGAUCGACAGUGGUCAACCGACAGCAAGGCUACCCUUAUGUUUAAAUAACAAGAUUUGGCGUUAAUUUAUUAUGUGUUCCUCUCCCCCGAUAAGAUUGUCUCAGUUUUUAAAUUGAUGCCGUGACAAUGCUAGUCACUCCUGAAGGCUGAUCAAGAUUGUGAAUUUUAAGAAUGAUAUUGAAAUCAAAAUUAAUCUCAAACAAAUGCAAUGGAUCCGUGAAUACCGACAUAUUAAUUCUUCACGCGACGCAUAAAAAUCCUGAAGAUAAAUUCUUCUUGUCAUGUAAAUGACACGAAUUAUAUAGCUCGAGCACGGGCUUAAUGUUAUCUCCACUUCGUUAUGGCUAGCAAAUCUGCUUUCAAGAUUGUUCCUGUCCUAAUAUUUUAGUUAUUCCCGGUUUCUUUUUUAUCCUCGGUGCGUGGUUUUCACUAUCGCCGAUGAAGGGCAAAAUCCAUUGUUACAAUAUCAAUUAAUAUCCUUCAUGCAUUUAUCGUAUGAGCAGCGCUGGGAUAUGGAAACGUUUGCAUCCGAGGAUUAUUAUUUAUUUUUGGGAAGGGCGAAAAACAAGACCCAGAGAAACAUGAGAAGGUUCCUUGCCAAAAUAAUAUGCACACUUGUUUAUUGUGAUUUCAAAUCAAAAGGUCAUUGAAGUUUACCCACCAAAAUUGGACUUUUUGGUUGGAAAAUGCCUGUUCAGAAAUCCGGGAUAUAAUGCAUCUUGGGUCGAUUGUUAUAUUUGCAUUCCAGUAACGGCAACGUUACAAUACCAUCAUAUUAUAGAUAUAUGCUAUACGCCCCGACUAUCACAUUGUCCCAACUAUAGUUGGGGCCAAUGCCGUAGUCGGGCGUAACAGCUGCAAUGAUUCUACAAUAUAGUGUCUCUUGUGAGUAUGUUUACUGUGAUUUAUUUUUCUCGCCGAAGACUCAGGCUGAUUGUAUACUAUUCCUAAAAUGAUAAUUGCUCUAUCAAUUACAAACACUUUAGUUGUGUAAAAUACUCGGCCAUUUUUGUACAUCUUUGUUACAAAAGCUCAGAUAAGCUGUUCCUGAAUCUUACAAGAUUCGUAUUUACUGUAAAAGAAGAUCCCAUUCUUUGACAAAAUGACCUUGAAAUCAUUCGUUAUUAAUUGAACCUAGGCUAUUUCUUAUUCCUUUUCAUCCUUCGAUGCUUCCUCUUUCGUAAACUUACUGUGAAUGAUAUAGCUAUGUAUGUAGCAAAAUAAAGGGAGUCUUGCAAAAUAA